rnacentral:lncRNA from 1 species
UAUUUAUUUCCCCAGUAACCCUUGUAUUCUUGUUUGGACAGUCCUGGCAUCAUUGAUACUUUCUUUCAGAAACAUUAUCUCACAUUGAGAAUGGGGAUAGGGUGAACGCCAACUGAGGCAGGUGGUCUCUUCAUCUGGUUGUGCUUGGCACAUAGUAUGGUGCUACAAAAGUUGCUUUUUUUUUUCCCUCCCUCCCUCCCUUCCUUCUUUCCUUCCUAUCUCUUUUUCCUUUUUUUUUUUUUUUUUUUUUUGAGACAGAAUCUUACUUUGUCACCCAGGCUGGAGUGCAGUGCCACCCUCAGACAGACCCCAGUGUGUAUUGUUCCCCUUAAUGUAAAUGUGUGUUCUCAUCAUUUAGUUCCCACUUUAUAAGUGAGCAUUUAGGUUGAUUUCAUGUCUUUGCUAUUGUGAAUAGUGCUGCAGCGAACAUACACAUGCUUGUGUCUUUAUGAUAGAAUGAUUUCUAUUCCU